UUCAAUUUUAAACAUGUCUAGGAAUGAUUGUGGUAUACGUGGACUACAGUUUAUUAUCCAAUCCACAGAAAAGUCUCCCGGGAACAUUGAGCAAAGGGUCGAGGCAUUUCUCAAAAUGUUUGAGACCAAGAUUUAUGAGAUGACAAUUGAUGAGUUCAAGAUACGCCUGUCCUACACCUUGUGAGCUCUGAAUUAAAUGCUCUCUGGAAGCAUUACAAACAUAGAUGUCUGGAACGGUAGAGGAUAUCUACAUGUCCACUUGAUGGGAAUGUACACAAGUAGUGUCUAUGCCUAGGGCUUUAUGUGCAUCAUUGAUAACAAUCAUUAAGCAAGGAAAACUACAUUUACACAUCCAUUGUAAAACGACUGGUAAUGGCCAAAAUUGAGUAAGUAAUCAUAAAUAUGCAUAAAAAUGCUCCAAAUCUUUUUCCGUAUUACUAUUAACUGUAAUGUAUUUGAAAUUGGACAUUGAGCCUAACUUGACCUCAACACCAAUUUGUAAAAUAGGGUUUGCACCACACUUAUAUACUAUAAUUUGAUCAUACUUUUAGUCAAUAUGGAAUCUCUAUCACCUUCUCAUGCCAAGGAUUGAACAUCUCGAUUGUGAAACUAUAUAUUUGUGGGACUAGGUAUAAAAUUCUCUAUUUCCUUAUGUAGUUUAAGAAGGUUCCAAAGUCUAUUCUCACGAGUUUUGUUGAGCAACCACCCAUAAAUAUUUAUUUCCAUACUCAAUAUAUCCUUUAUUCGACACAAGGUGGUGUGUUAGAGAUUCCUUAUUGACUAA